UUGAUGUCUGGGACCCCCUCCCUGGGAGGACUGGAGGGGAGGAGCUUUCAGUGUUGUUUUAAUAUUUUUUAAAACAUAAUAAGCUUACAAUAUCUGGCGGUUCCGAAUCUGUAUGCCUUUUCCUCAGUGAAGAAAAUCUCUGUUGGCUGCGAGCAGAGAAGCGGCGGAAGGAUUCCCGACUCCGGGAAGCCAGGUGUCGGAAGGAGGAAGUACGCUUGAAGGGGGUCCGGCUGGCCGACUCUGCACUCGUCCGUUCGUGGCCCACCGUGGUGGUCACCAAAUUGAGGGCUUCCUGGAAGGACCUCCUCACGGUGCCCAUCCACUGGGUCAUGUGGGUCUGGGCCACUGUGAGUUUAUCUCCCAGGUGGAGCAACACCGUCAGUCAGAAGGCAGCGGAUGGCACAGGGCUUCCGCGUAAGGCCUGCAUCGCCUGAGUCAUGGUUUUCUCAUCUUGUAUGAGGCCCACCCCCUUCAAAAGGUUGUGACAAAAAAAACAACUGAGAUAAUUUGUGCCGCUGGCACAUAGUUAACACUCAAUAAGGCCGGGCGCAGUGGCUUACACCUCUAAUCCCAGCACUUUGGGAGGCUGAGGCAGGUGGAUCACUUGAGGCCAGGAGUUCGAUACCAGCCUGACCAACAUGGUGAAACCCCAUCUCAACUAAAAAUACAAAAAUUAGCCAGGCAUGGUGGUGUGCACCUGUAGUCCCAGCUACUUGGGAGCCUGAGGCAGGAGCAUCUCUUGAACCCGGGAGGUGGAGGUUGCAGUGAGCGGAGAUGGCACCACUGCACUCCAGCCUGGGCGACAGAACAAGACUCUGUCUCAAAACAACAACAACAACAAAAUAAUAAAUGGUGACCACAAGGGAUGAUCGUUUUUCUAUUAUAAUUCCUAUCAUCUCACUGUUCAAAUGAAUCACAGGACCCUAGACAGUCAGAAUCAAGACACCAGCAGGGACCAACCUAGGCCAACCUUCCCACUAAACUGAAGAAACAGGCCCAGACCGAGGGCUGCCCUAAGGCCUCACAGUCCAUCUGCAGCAGG
rnacentral:lncRNA from 10 species